UAACUGCGUGCAGACGUGUGAACUGCAGGACACAUGAACACCGACAUUUCGAACGCAAAUGGCGGUCUAAAGUAAAUUUUAGACCACGUCUGGCUGAGGGUCGGAUUUGAAAUAAAACAAAAGUUACUCAAACUAAUGGCUGUGAAAGUUUUACAUGAAUACUUGUAAAAUGUGUGGCCUGUUUGAUAGCCAAGUUUCAUCGCCGGGUUUAAUAAAGCUCGGUUAGAAUUAUGGUAGCGCUCAACUGUAAGCUAACUUGAUGUUUAUGUAAUAAUAAAAUGUUAAAAGCGAUAAAGUUGACGUUAUUCAAAAAUGUAUAUAAAACUCAAAUAUACGACCUCAGAGUAGGCGAGAUUACCCGCUAAAUUUAA
rnacentral:misc_RNA from 1 species